rnacentral:lncRNA from 1 species
AUGUCUAAUAUAAAAAAAAAAUCCUAUGUAGUUUUCAUACUGUAUUGUUUAGGGAAAAAUGACAAGACAAGUUUACCUGUUCAGUACAGGUACCAAUUAUUAAAAUACACUCUAAAAUUGGUUCAAUCUAAGGAAGCACAAUUGCAGAUAUGGAAGUUUAACCAUAUUCUCCUGUGGCGAUAAGGGAUAAGGGGCAUCUGAAUGUUUGAUGAGAGAAAUCUUAUGGACUAAGGAGUGGAAGCUGUAAAUGGUCAGAUGGCACAUAGUUCAGGCUUUUCAGGCAUAUCGAAUCUUGUGCAUUUACUUAAGUCAGUCAUUGUAGCUUGAAAGGAACCAGAGAUAAUAUGUCCAUAACUGAGCACUGAAAGCAACUACAGACAUCAUGUCAAUGAAUGAGAAUGGCUCUGUUUCAGCAACAAAAACCAGGUGGCUUGGAUUAGGCCCAAGAAUUUUAGUUUUCAAACCACGUACAGUAUUAUUAGAUCACAGCAUGCUCUUCUGGUCACAAAUAUUCAAGCCCAUCCCUACCUAGCUCAUAGCAUUUUAGUUUGUACCUUUUCAGGCUCACAAAGUGUCAUCAUUGUCGCACAGUAUCUCCAUUUUAUCUGCAGUACAGCUGGCUACUUCUAGGUAGUAUGUAGGACACCAUAUAGUUAAUUAUGAUCUAAAAGCUUGAGAAGGAAGGCUCAUUGGCAUGUAAUGAAUAAAAAGAGACUUAAAACAGUAUAAAGGAUCCAUAAAUUCUUUUGCUUAUUUUUCACCUAAGCAUACAUGUUGAAUAAAUAUUUUUUUAUUAUUGGAAUGGACUAGUUUCCCGUGUUCAUUAACCUCUGUAUUUUGAAACAUAGACUAAAAAAUUAUUAAUGAAGUAAAAUAUCCUUCUAGGCAUUCUUUUCUUCACCUUCCAUUUUUGUUUAGUUGCUUAGUAUGUAAAAUUUAUGUUAAAAUUUACUCUACGUAAAAGAUCAGAAUAGCUAUCUAAUGCCACUUUAUAACUCCUGUAUUUUCCACCAGAUGUCACUAGAGCUAUAAUGUUCAAAUAAAGGUGAAAUUCUUUUUUACUCUAAUGACUAAUAUUUAGCUUUUAUUAUUGGGGUUUAACAUUGGAUUUUAUACAAAAAUGUAAGUACAUAGAGGAAAAAAACACCCCUUUCUUAUAUGCUAGGUACUUUAUAUGUCUCAUUUUAUUUCUCUUGUGUUAGUGCUGAAGUAGAAUAAUAGUGUCACCAGGCAUGGAAAAUGAGCUUUGCAAAACUUGAGCAUGGCUUAGUGGGUAAAUUGUAUUUAAA